CAGGACGAACGCUGGCGGCGUGCCUAACACAUGCAAGUCGAGCGAGGAGAUCCUUCGGGAUGAUCCUAGCGGCGGACGGGUGAGUAACACGUGGGCAACCUGCCUCAUAGAGAGGAAUAGCCUUCCGAAAGGGAGAUUAAUACCUCAUAACAUUGCAGUUUCGCAUGAAACAGCAGUUAAAGGAGCAAUCCGCUAUGAGAUGGGCCCGCGGCGCAUUAGCUAGUUGGUGAGGUAACGGCUCACCAAGGCGACGAUGCGUAGCCGACCUGAGAGGGUGAUCGGCCACAUUGGGACUGAGACACGGCCCAGACUCCUACGGGAGGCAGCAGUGGGGAAUAUUGCACAAUGGGGGAAACCCUGAUGCCAGCAACGCCGCGUGAGUGAUGACGGCCUUCGGGUUGUAAAGCUCUGUCUUCAGGGACGAUAAUGACGGUACCUGAGGAGGAAGCCACGGCUAACUACGUGCCAGCCGCCGC
rnacentral:rRNA from 1 species